UACAGGGGGUGCGAGCGUUAAUCGGAAUUACUGGGCGUAAAGCGUGCGUAGACGGUUAUUUAAGUCGGGUGUGAAAGCCCCGGGCUCAACCUGGGAAUUGCAUUCGAGACUGAAUAGCUAGGGUACGGUAGAGGGAAGUGGAAUUUCCGGUGUAGCGGUGAAAUGCGUAGAUAUCGGAAGGAACAUCAGUGGCGAAAGCGGCUUCCUGGACCAGUACCGACGUUCAGGCACGAAAGCGUGGGGAGCAAACAGG
rnacentral:rRNA from 1 species